rnacentral:lncRNA from 1 species
CUAUUCGGCCAUCUUGGCUCUCCCUUAGUAGUUUUGCUCGGUCACUCACGGCAACCUCCGCCUCCUGGGUUCAAGCAGUUCUCCUGCCUCAGUCUCCCGAGUAGCUGGGACUCUACAGGCAUCCCCCAUCAGAUGUUGUUCUGUUGGGUUUCAUUUAACCAGUCUCAACAAAUGAUACAGAAUAUUUCCUAAAGAACUUAUAAUCCAAUAAAUGACUUUUUGAUGCCUCAUGGAGAAAAUUGGCUUUGAGACCACACUUCUUCCCACUUCUUCAAUAUAAAAGAAAAACAAGUUCUUAUUAACACAAUUUUGGACACUCAAGCACAUUCUAUGGUUCUGUAUUGGUGAUGAAAACUGCCUAUGAGCGACUACCAACCUCUUUUAUGCUGCCUAUUUUUGGAGAUGUCCAAAUUUAAGAUUAAGGAUUCUGGAAAUUUGUUUCACAUAUUCUCUUUCUCUUUCUCUCAAGGUUAGGGUACCCAGUGUCUUCCAAACUAAAGUAUUGUAAUAUUACCCUGCCACCUAGGGGUAUUGCCAAAGAAAUUUAUGCAUGUAUAUAGACAUUUAGUGUAUUGGUCAAAAUGUGACAAUUAUGUUAUUAAAGUAUGUAAUUAACAGUCACAAUUGUGUUUUUGUAUUUUGUUUUCUCUUUCAUAAUAGUCUUUGUUCUUGAAACCAAAUGAGAAUGGU